AGCCCCCGGUGCACGUUUAGAGAGGUGUGGGUAGGUAAAGCUUCCUUUCUCCAGGUCUCUCAAAAAAGCAAGAGUUCAAUAGGUCAGAGAUGUGUGUUAUUUUCCCACCGGUGCAACACUCAGGAUGUGUCAGAUGCACGUGUCAGGGAAUGACAGCGAAGAGAGAGCGGGCAGAUCAGGCAGACAAAGGCCAGGCUUCAAAGAGGAACGCUUUAGAUCAGCGGAUCAGCGGGCGAUGCUCCCCGCGCUGGAUCUGGCGCCUGUCACGAACGCUUGAGAGAGACGUACAGACGAGACGAGACGCACAGACGGCAGCGCACACAACGCCACAACUUCCUCUGCCGAGUAUCAGCCAGUGUAUUCUGGGCGCACUCGAACAGUUCCCCGCGCCGGGCUUGUCAUUUUGACGAAUGGAUCUCGGUAACUGUCAAUUAAACCGAAUUCCCAUCUGCGGCGCCGGAAUGAAGAGGACACACGCAGCGAAAGGCACACAAACGGCAGCAAACGGCUGUGGAGGCCGUCGAGCUUCUGCCCAGAGACAGGUUGAUCCACACGUUAGCGUCACGUGGGGCCCCCGGCAUCGUCGCCGAGAACCCCGGAAAACGUCAGCGUGAUUAAUUAUAAUUAAUUAGCGAAAUGCUACGUGUUGGCUAAUUCAUCAUAUUUGUAUUAUAAGGAAUUCAUCAUCAAACUGUUUUCACUAAACGCUAAAUCAGCUAAAUGCGUUCUUACACCCCAGAGAUUCCUCCGACAGCUCUCAGUAAACAGUUUAGUUUCAGCCUUUGAGGAAUUUCUGAAUCUGAAUCUGUGUGAUGGUGAUACAGCCAUUCAUUUGAUCUUUGAAGCCCAUUUAUGACUUCAGAAAUGUUUGUUGAAGGACCUCGAAAGCUUCUUUUUGCCAGGUUGCCAUUCAGAGUGUCCUCCUUUUUAAAGUGGACCCUAAUGACAGCAUACAUUACUAAUGGCCUCCGUCCCCUUUAUGCAAAAUCAUCACUACAUGACUGAGACCAAGAGUGGUGGUGAAAGUCAGUGUGCAGGCCUCAUUACCCCAAUUAAUGACAAUUCCUAUUGCAUAAGCAGAACUCAUCUGUGGAUGGAAGUCAAUACCUUUGUCAUGGUUAUGAUAAUGGUCUUAAAUGCUCAUAUAUAGUGAGAAAUCUGCAGCUUGACACUGAAGGACAUCAAUGCUGUAAUAUAGAUAAUUAAAAUGAGUGUGUCGCAGCCAUUGCAAUUAAACAGGGAAAAGUGUGUCAGGGCCUGUGUAUGAUUUGUGUCAUUAAUUUUCAUUACCGAGUGUUUAUUAACCUUUUUAUCUCACGUAGUCGUGAUGAUGGUCCAUUCUGUGGAGAUUACGACCGCGUGUGCUCCAGCGCGUGUUUGUGUUUCCUCCUACGGAACGCUCCCAUCAUGGGAAAUUUCUCGAGCAGCUCGGGGAACUGUAAGCGUUCCUGUUUUUAAUACUCGGCGUCUUCGGCGGAAGCAGAGCAUUAGCAGGCGGUCCAGUGAAGGAAAUGUCAUGGCUCCUAAUUAAAUUUGAAAUAAAGUGAUAUUUCACGUGAUUCAUUCAUUUAUUUCUGCAGCCUCUGAACACGUCAGGUGUUACGCUCCUCAAAUGUCCAGCUGUCGUUGAGGUCCGACUCCAGCGAUUCAACCUCAGCCAUUGGCAUCAGCGCGUGAGGCAUCAUCCCUGUUAAUGACGAGCCACGGAGCGCGGCUGCUGCGGGAUUAGGAGCACGUGUUCCCUUUGCAGCCUCACAUAUUCUGGAUGAUGUCAAGAGGGGAUCUGGAGAAUAAAUACCUUUGCCCACAUACACGGCAACCAGUCACCUGCUCCUAACUUUGAUCAGUAAU